rnacentral:rRNA from 1 species
ACGAACGCUGGCGGCGUGCUUCACACAUGCAAGUCGAACGGAAAGGCCCUGCUUUUGUGGGGUGCUCGAGUGGCGAACGGGUGAGUAACACGUGAGUAAUCUGCCCUUGACUUUGGGAUAACUUCAGGAAACUGGGGCUAAUACCGGAUAGGAGCUCCUGCUGCAUGGUGGGGGUUGGAAAGUUUCGGCGGUUGGGGAUGGACUCGCGGCUUAUCAGCUUGUUGGUGGGGUAGUGGCUUACCAAGGCUUUGACGGGUAGCCGGCCUGAGAGGGUGACCGGCCACAUUGGGACUGAGAUACGGCCCAGACUCCUACGGGAGGCAGCAGUGGGGAAUAUUGCACAAUGGGCGGAAGCCUGAUGCAGCAACGCCGCGUGCGGGAUGACGGCCUUCGGGUUGUAAACCGCUUUCGCCUGUGACGAAGCGUGAGUGACGGUAAUGGGUAAAGAAGCACCGGCUAACUACGUG